UACGGGGGGGGCAAGCGUUGUUCGGAAUUACUGGGCGUAAAGGGUGCGUAGGCGGUCCGCUAAGUUAGAUGUGAAAACUCUGGGCUCAACCCAGAGCCUGCAUCUAAUACUGACGGGCUAGAGUUCUGGAGGGGGUAGCGGAAUUCCUGGUGUAGCGGUGAAAUGCGUAGAUAUCUGGAGGAACACCGGUGGCGAAGGCGACAUCCUGGACCGGUAUUGACGCUGAGGCGCGAAAGCCAGGGGAGCAAACGGG
rnacentral:rRNA from 1 species